UACGGAGGGAGCUAGCGUUGUUCGGAAUUACUGGGCGUAAAGCGCACGUAGGCGGCUUUGUAAGUUAGAGGUGAAAGCCCGGGGCUCAACCCCGGAAUUGCCUUUAAGACUGCAUCGCUUGAAUCCAGGAGAGGUGAGUGGAAUUCCGAGUGUAGAGGUGAAAUUCGUAGAUAUUCGGAAGAACACCAGUGGCGAAGGCGGGCUCACUGGACUGGUAUUGACGCUGAGGUGCGAAAGCGUGGGGAGCAAACAGG
rnacentral:rRNA from 1 species